ensembl:lncRNA
CUGGACCCCUGUGCUCAGCACCUCCUCACCGUGAGCUCAGGGGAGAAUGCAGCAACACCAUCUGCUUCCCUAAGAGCUACUGUAUUAAAGUGCAGGUUACCUGAGGUUGGCAGUAGGUCAACAAUAGGCUAAGUUUGCAGCUUUAAAAAGGGAUCCCAACAAGUAGACAAGAAUUGUUGAAAUCUCAUGCAUUUAAAGGAUUUUGGAGCUCUAAAGCAAGCUAUGAAAAAGCACCUUAUGCCCUGGGAUGUUGCACUCGAGCCAUGCAGGAAGAGAAAUAGAGUUUCUUACACAAAACAGAGCAGACCUGAAUUUUGUUUAAAAAUGCCAGAGUAGGGGAAGUGAUGUCUCCUUUUAUGUAGCAGACACACAAGAGUUCAGAGAUUAACAUGACCAAAGAGGUGUGGUUUGUAUCACCCAUAUAUUAAAAGCCAAUUUUGUUGCUAACCUUUGUUGGACAUGGUGUUCUUCUCCCUACUUACUGAAUCUGGCAAUAAAACCUUGCAAGCAAGAGGAAGGGAAGAGAGAUGGCGAGCAUGAAUUAGCAUAUUCAGUACAGUGUCCAAGAGUGGUGCAGUAUGGAACUGAGAUGUUUCUUAUGUCACAUAAGCCUGUGUUUUAAAUAGGGGCCAUCUAAUAUUAGUGGCCUGCUGGUCUGUGAAUUUGACAGUGGAACAGAGGGGAAUAUCCUUCUCUGGUGGAGGAGCUUGAAAGGAUCAAUGUGGAAGGGCAAUGAAUUUUAAAACCGUAAAAUUUCUUAAAUUCAAGUCAGCUGUAUACCUGCCACUGUCCUGAAGUUUCAAGUUCCUAGGUGAGCGGAGCCUGCAGCACUGCAAGGCACACCUAAGGGUGUAUUUACAAGUGCACUUGGAAGAAGAUGUGAACUCAACAGCUUCUGAUACAGUGGCUCCCAAGACAUGAAGUACUCUGCCCUGGGGGCCAACAAGAAAGCAUGGUAAAUUUUCAAGAGACUGAAAUGAGGCAGAGAGUUAGUCUUUUGACUAAGGAGCCUUGGAAUCACAGGGUAGUUUCUGUCCCUUGGUAAGGCUGUGUUUUUCAGUGCAGUUCUUAGGACAAAAGUGUCCUUUAUUUAUUUGCAGGUACUAAGCUUUGAGGGAAAGAGAUAAGGCGUUCUAAAAAUGUGCAGCUUCAGACCAGCAACUACGUAGAAGAUAAAAUGCACAACGAUCUCACACGAUGGUGUGAGAGUUCCCCAGACUUUAUGAGGAUAACUUCUAUUUUUCCUACCCUGUCAGAAACUAAGUUGUCAAGAAAUAACUAUUCUUGAUAGCAGAAUGAAAACAAGAAAUAUCACAGAAUCACAAAAUUGUGGGGGUUGGAAAUAACCUCUAGAGAUCAUCUAUUCCUACCCACUGCUGGUUCACUACAGCAGGUUGCACAUGUGGGCAUAUAGAUGGGUCUUGAAUAUUUCCAGAGAAGGAGACUCCACAGCCUCUACAGCUUGUUCCAGUGCUGUGUUACUCUAAUAGUAAAGAAGUUAUUCCUUUUAUUAGUAUGGAACUUCUGGUGUUCCAGUUUCUGCCCAUUGCCACUUGUUCUACUGUUGCUCACCAUCUAAAAGAGUCUGCCCAAAUCAACUUGAUUUCUGAACUUUGGAAAUUUAUAAACAGUUAUAAGACCCCCCUCAGCAUUCUCUUCUCAGACUGAACAGUCACAGGUCUCUCAGCAUUUUCUUGUACAGGAGAUGUUCCAGGUCCCUCAUCAUCUUUGUCACCUUCCACUGAACUCUUUCUAGGAAACCCCUGUCUUUCUUGAACUGGGGGUUCCAGAACUGGACACGGUACUCCAGAUAUGGUCUCAUGAGAUCAGAGUGGAGGGGGAGGAUCACCUCCCUUGACCUACCGGCCUCGCUCUUUAUAAUGCACCCCAGGAUGCUAUUGGCCUUCUUGGCCACAAGCACACUUCUGGCUCAUGGCCAACCUGCUGUCCACCCUGACACCCAGGUUUUACUUUGCAGAGCUUCUUUCCAGCAGGUCAGUCCCUAACCUUUACUGAUAUUUGCUAUUAAAUGUAAAACCACAGAGCAAUGAUGAUCAUGUAAUAUGAUUUCUAUCUUUCUCAUAAUGGCUGCAAUGUGAUCUUCAUUUCUUCAAGCUAGUCCUGAUUUCAUUCAGUAUCUGACAUACAAUUAUGCUUUUGACAACUUAAUGGCCAAGCCUCUGACUUAUGUCUCCUUAAAAUCUGUGAGUGGGAUUCAAUUGCAUCUGGUUUGGUACAAUGUCCAUUUUAAGUAACUAAGUAUUGCACAGUUCUAUCUUGCCUGUCUGUUUCUUCUCCAUUCCCAAAGCUAUGACAGAUCUAAUCGAGAGAGGCACUUUAUAUAAAAAAGAAUAAAACAGUGCAAGGAUGUUUACUGACUUUGUACUAAAGAAAUGAGACUGUGUACAUAUGGAGUGGAGAUGUAAAUGUAAUCAUAUUACUUGUGAUGAGGUCUUGUUUUCUAGAGUGUAGUAUGUUUCAUGAACAAAGGGACUAGUCAUAUAGUGAUCUGAAAUUUUGCCACUAAGUUUCACAUUUGUCAAAGAUGUGCAAACUGUGGUUAAAUUAAUUUUUCAAUCUCAAUAAAGACUCUUGCUGGAGUUUGGACUCUGUUUCUUAAAAGAAAAAAAAAGGAUGAGAGGAGCAAAUGAUGGCUGAUUAGAGUACAAAUGCAAGUGAAAAUAUAAAGUCUAUUAUUAUUUGGAGGCAAUAGAUUAAGGUUUUUCAUGUGGCAGGUGUAUUAACAAAAUACUAAAAAUGCAUGAUGCAGAAGAUUAGAUUCUCAAGCCAAUAACAGUUUUUCUAUUAAUUUGCUAAGAGGCAUGGCUUUUUUACUGCUAAGUUUGUAAAAGUUUUGUGCCUUCCUGAACUUCACACCAUAUUAUAGUGUGUAGUAUAGGGCAGAGACCUACACACUUGUGCAUUCAAGUCUGAGUGAAAUAACAGAAGGCGAGUCUGAAGUUUUUUGACCAAAACUUUACAGCACUUGCCUCCAGGAUAUUGAACUACUAACUGAGAUGGCCUAGAACUAUGAGUGUUCCCACUAAAAUUCUCUGACACAAACUUCGUUUUAGAUAUUAGCCUGUAUUUAUUAAUGUCCACCCCCAUUUCAAAUGCUGCUUACUGAAGGUACUUCUGGAGAAUUCUUCUGACAUCUCUUUUCUGUACAUCAAAUUUGAUAAGAUUUCCCUCACUGAAAACUGAAAUGUGAAGAUAUUGGUGCUCCAAAAUUAUCUCACUUCAAAGAUAUAUGGCACUCAAACACAGUCAUAAAGCAAGGUGGAAAAUCCUUCUGAAGGUUUGGAAGGUUUGCAUAAGCAUAAAGGUUUUCAUACCUUAUGCAUUGUAAGAAUCCAAACAUCAGCUAUUUACUCUUUUCCUGAUCUUUUCCUUCAUGGGGAUAUAGCUGUGGCUUAGAAGUCUCAAAGGAACUUUCAACACCGCAUUUUCUGUGUUUGUGUAGGAAUGCUUCCAACUUUUGUGCCUCAGCUCUAUUGGUUAGUGUAGUAAGAUGCUCUACUUGAUCAGUGUGUUUAUGCAAUGCAUAGGCAGUAUGACUCUCUGCUCUGGCAUUGGUGGCAUGAGGAAGAACAAAGGAUGCAGGUCUUCUACAUCUGGUGUCCAUGCACUGAGUUGUGGUUGCAAUCCAAAACUAACUCCUCAUCUGAUGCUACUUUUCACAUCUUAAUAUUGAAAAGUUGGUAUAAGAUAUUUUCUUCCCUUUUUACUUUAUAUAUACACACAUAUAUAGAACUAAACAAAGAAAGAACAGCAAAAACAGAAAAAAAAUCCUUUAUGUUCUCCUUUUUUUUUCUUCUUUUUCUAAAUGUCUUUCAGUUUAGCCUUUGUCCCAGUAAUUUACCACUUGAGACUUAUCAAGUAGUAAGGCAGGGCUACUCUAAAUGCCAAAUGAAUUUCUUAUGUGUACCACAAAGAACAGCAGUUGUCAUGUUGGAAAUUGGCUGGUGCACAAAUAGGGUCUACUUUCAAUGUUCUGUUGUUCCUGGGUAACAGUGCGGCAAUAAACAAGCAUAGUGGCCAAAUUUACUGCAAUUGUCUGUUUUAUUAACUGUCUUUCAGACAGAGAACAAGCAAACAACAAAUAAGCAAAAUUGUUCAAAUAAGAACAAUAGUUUAUAAGAUUCAGAAAACAUUACAUUAGUGUUACAAAUAGGAUGUCUAAAAGAAAAUUAGAUACUGGCUUCUAUGGUGAUGAAGAAUUCAGGUGUAAUAAAAUUGAUGAAACCAUAUAAUAAAACUCAUGGAAGGAUGGUGAAUUUGAUUUAUUUGAAUAUUCUCAGUUAUGUUUUUGUUUAUUCCCAUAGCAGAUGUUUAAUUUACAAACCAGGCAAUUACUACAGCUCUUCCAAACAAAUAAGAACAAAUUAGUCAAACGUUCACAUCAGUUUUUAUGUUUAUCAUUAGUUUUAUGAUGCAUCAUGAAUAUUCAGUGUUGAGAAAAAACUGUCAUUCUGAUACCUGGAAAACCUUAGAAUGAUAUUUUACACCUCUGGAUUCUGUUUCACCCUGUUCAAGGAUGUUGUUAAUGUGUGUUGCCAGAAGCUGGCCUUAUAUCUUAAAAGGACUUGCUCACUUAUCUUCCUAACACAAAGAUUAACUUUGUAUUCAUGAUACUCUAGUAUGGAUGUGUCUGACUUACAUUUUUUCUUACAUAAAUAAAUAAAUUUUGGCUUUCCAUUUAGAAAGAAAUCCUGAGACUGAAGUGUUUUUUAACAAGACAAAGCAAACUUACACCCGAAUACCUCUUUCUCUCCCCAGACAAAUACAGACCUAUAUGUUUAUCUGGAAGUUUCAAGUAAAAUCACUGCUAUCCAUUUGGCCUUUGGCUCACUUCAUAUUUCCUGAAGUACCUCCUGUGGUAGAAGGAAGGAAUUGUCAAGAGAGAUGCCAUAUUGCAAUCUGUAGAGCAUUCCUGUUGCUGGUUAGGAUGGUCAGGAAGUAAUUACUCAGCAGUAUGGCUUUUUUUCUUACUGCUAAACUGCAAGGAAUUUCAUUAAAACAAAACAAAGAAAAAAAUAGCACAGUGCCCUUCUAUUACAGAGUAUGCAUGUAUGUGGGUACAAGCGAGCACAGAUAUGCUCUAGAAAGAAAAAGUUAUCUCUGUCCCACUUUCUUUAAGUGUAUUACAGUUUGCUGAGUUUUGUAUUAAAAGAACAGAAAGCAGUCUCAAUUUCUUCUCCAGAUUCCUACAGUACAUCAUUCCCCUCAACCAUUAUGACUAUGAAUCAUUUUCAUUAACUGUCAAGCUUAGAGAAGGCUUUAAGGUUAAAUCAGUCUACUCAGAUGAAUUCCUGUGGGAAUAUUUUCAGUAGGAACAUGUUUGCAAUGUAAGCUAUAUGAAAUGGUGUAAAAGAUCUCAGUAGAAAAAGAAGUAUCUAUUGUUAAAAGUGUUUUGUAUUGUAGAAAAGAAUUUUGGACUCAAUUGUCAGUUACACUCUCGACAACGAAGAUCUGCUUCCUCUGCAUUAAUUACAGUUCAAAUUCCAUUAGAAACAUGAGCUUUAAAACAUUUCAGAUUAAUUCUUAUAGCAUUGUUAUAUGUUAUUUUGAUUUAUGUAAUUACAGUAAUUUUCGGAUGUGAAAAUAAUAAUUCUUUUCUUCCCUCCUAG